rnacentral:tRNA from 1 species
GGAGUUGUAGCUCAACGGCCAGAGCACCUGAUUGUCGAUCAGGAUGAUGCGAGUUCGAAUCUCGUCAACUCCG